CCCUUGAUGUCCUGGGCCGCACGCGCGCUACACUGAGUGUCUGAGAUACGAGUCUGCCUGGUCCGGCAAGGUCUAGGUAAUCGCUAAAAGACACAUCAUGCUUGGGAUAGAUUAUUGCAAAUAUUAAUCUUGAACGAGGAAUUCCUAGUAAGCGCAAGUCAACAGCUUGCGUUUAUUACGUCCCUGCCCUUUGUACACACCGCCCGUCGCUACUACUGAUUGGAUGUUUAAGCGAGGUUCUCGAACUGCUAGCGACUUAGCUUCGGUGAGGUCGCAGUGUGGGAAGUGAACCUAGCUUUGGUGUCUAGAGGAAGUAAAAGUCGUAACA
rnacentral:rRNA from 1 species